rnacentral:rRNA from 1 species
UAGGGAAUCUUCGGCAAUGGGGGGAACCCUGACCGAGCAACGCCGCGUGAGUGAAGAAGGUUUUCGGAUCGUAAAGCUCUGUUGUUAAGGAAGAACGAGUGUGAGAAUGAAAAGUUCAUGCUGUGACGGUACUUAACCAGAAAGGGACGGCUAACUACGUGCCAGCAGCCGCGGUAAUACGUAGGUCCCGAGCGUUGUCCGGAUUUAUUGGGCGUAAAGCGAGCGCAGGCGGUUAGAAAAGUCUGAAGUGAAAGGCAGUGGCUCAACCAUUGUAGGCUUUGGAAACUGUUUAACUUGAGUGCAGAAGGGGAGAGUGGAAUUCCAUGUGUAGCGGUGAAAUGCGUAGAUAUAUGGAGGAACACCGGUGGCGAAAGCGGCUCUCUGGUCUGUAACUGACGCUGAGGCUCGAAAGCGUGGGGAGCGAACAGG